rnacentral:rRNA from 1 species
UGGGGAAUUUUGGACAAUGGGCGAAAGCCUGAUCCAGCAAUGCCGCGUGUGUGAAGAAGGCCUUCGGGUUGUAAAGCACUUUUGUCCGGAAAGAAAUCCUUGGCUCUAAUACAGUCGGGGGAUGACGGUACCGGAAGAAUAAGCACCGGCUAACUACGUGCCAGCAGCCGCGGUAAUACGUAGGGUGCAAGCGUUAAUCGGAAUUACUGGGCGUAAAGCGUGCGCAGGUGGUUUGCUAAGACCGAUGUGAAAUCCCCGGGCUCAACCUGGGAACUGCAUUGGUGACUGGCAGGCUAGAGUAUGGCAGAGGGGGGUAGAAUUCCACGUGUAGCAGUGAAAUGCGUAGAGAUGUGGAGGAAUACCGAUGGCGAAGGCAGCCCCCUGGGCCAAUACUGACGCUCAUGCACGAAAGCGUGGGGAGCAAACAGGAUUAGAUACCCUGGUAGUCCACGCCCUAAACGAUGUCAACUAGUUGUUGGGAUUCAUUCCUUAGUAACGUAGCUAACGCGUGAAGUUGACCGCCUGGGGAGUACGGUCGCAAGAUUAAAACUUAAAUGAAUUGACGGGGUCAUAGCUGUUUCCU